GUUUUUUUUUGUUUUUUUUCCUAGCGAUUUCCUUUGUUUCUUCCUGGUUUUCUUUGGUUUUUAUUUUAUUUUUUGGUUCUUCGCCAUUUUCACUUUUUUUUCCUGUUGCUUUCUUUUCUGUUUUCCUAGUUUCUUUCUCGGUUGUCUUUAUUUUCGUUUUGUUUUAUUUAAUUGCACUGGUUUUGUCGUUUUUUACUUUUCUUUUCUUGGUUUUCUUUGUUUUCUUUAUGUUUC
rnacentral:lncRNA from 1 species